rnacentral:rRNA from 1 species
UUCAGCAGCCAUACCACCUGCAGUUCAGACCAUCUGAAGCUUUGUAGGUUUGGGCCUGGCCAGUACUUGGAUUAGAGACAAACUGGGAAAAGCUUGGUUGCUACUGGAA